rnacentral:lncRNA from 1 species
ACCAGUAAUACUUUUUAAAACAAAGUUGUCAACAUAUCAGACAGAACUUUUAAGUUCAAAAUACAUUGGAUUCUCGAUAUACAAAAGAAAGUUUGCUAGAAAAAGGUUGACACACUGAAGUAGUUAAUAACAUGAGAACCUCUUCUUCAUCCAAUGAUGUGUUCUGAGUUGUUUAUUGUUAUGCUAUGUGCUAGUGAUUUAAAAGAAUCAAAAACAAAAGAAGAAUGAGAGGAAGAGUAUGAUAAUGCUGGCACAUGCAGAAGAUGCUGUCAAGAGAAUCCAUGCAUUAAUGCUCUUGUUUUGUAUCUCUUCUUCCC